CGAAUGGCUCAUUAAAUCAGUUAU
rnacentral:ncRNA from 4 species